rnacentral:rRNA from 1 species
GACGAACGCUGGCGGCGUGCUUAACACAUGCAAGUCGAACGCUUAAGCUUGGUGCUUGCUCUGUGUGGAUGAGUGGCGAACGGGUGAGUAAUACGCGAGUAACCUGCCCUUGUCUCUGGGAUAAGCCUGGGCAAUUGGUUCUAAUACCAGAUACGACAUUUCACCGCCUGGUGUUGUUUGUAAAGGGGUUUCCUGGCUUUGGAUGGGCUCACGUCCUAUCAGCGUUUUGGUGGGGUACUGGCUCACCAUGGCGACGAUGGGUCGCCGGCCUGAGCGGGUGACCGGCCACACUAGGACUAAGACACGCCCCAGACUCCUACGGGAGGCAGCAGUAGGGAAUAUUGCACAAUGGGCGGAAGCCUGCUGCAGCGACGCAGCGUGAGGGAUGACGGCCUUCGGGUUGUAAACCUCUUUCAGCACGGAAGAAGCGAAAGUGACGGUACGUGCAGAAGAAGCGCCGGCUAACUACGUG